rnacentral:rRNA from 1 species
UAAUAAUUAGUUUAUUAAUUGUAAACUUGUAUGAAUGGUUUAACAAAUUUAAUUCUUUUUUGAUAUUAUGUUUUGAAUUUUUUUUUAAAGUGCAAAUACUUUAAUGUUUUAAAAAGAAGAUAAGACCCUAAGAAUUUUUUUAUUUGAUUUAUUUUUAUUAGUAUUUAAAUUUAAUUGAUUGUUAAAUUAAUUGGGGCGAUUUUUAAGUAUUUUUUAACCUUAAAUUUAUUUUUACUAUUAUUUAGUUAUUUGUUGGAUGAUUAGAAUAUAAAUGUUAAAUUACCUUAGGGGUAACAGCGUUAUAAUUUUUUGGAGUUCUUAUCUUAAUUUUUGAUUGCGACCUCGAUGUUGAAUUAAA